AAAGGGAGACCUAAUUCAGGUAUAAGACGAAAAAAAAGUAGUCCCUACCAAGAAUCAAUCCCAAAAGGUCGGAACGAGGUAUGAGGCUUUCAAACUAGGUUCUGGGUUCAUAAAAGACCUGAAUCAGGAACAAGGGCUAUUAGCUCAGGUGGUUAGAGCGCACCCCUGAUAAGGGUGAGGUCCCUGGUUCGAGUCCAGGAUGGCCCACCUGCACAGGUGGAAGAAAGAAAAAAAGCUCCGAAUCAGCACCUUAUCUUACUUAUAUAGUAAGAGAGAAUGCUGGCUCUGAGUACAGAGUCCAGAGGAACCUUGAAAACUGCAUAGAGCUAGGUGAAAAAGCCAAAAAAGAAGACCGCAAG
rnacentral:tRNA from 1 species